UUGGGAACAUAGCUAAGUGGUAGAGCACUUACCUAGCAUGCAAGGCCCUGGGUUCAAUCUCCAAUGCUGAAA
rnacentral:tRNA from 1 species